GAUGAAGAACGCAGCGAAAUGCGAUAAGUAAUGUGAAUUGCAGAAUUCCGUGAAUCAUCGAAUCUUUGAACGCACAUUGCGCCCUCUGGUAUUCCGGGGGGCAUGCCUGUCCGAGCGUCAUUGCAACCCUCAAGCGCGGCUUGUGUGUUGGGCCUUCGUCCCCCGUGGACGUGCCCGAAAUGCAGUGGCGGCGUCGUGUUCCGGUGCCCGAGCGUAUGGGGCUUUGUCACCCGCUCAUGGAGGCCCGGCCGGCCCCGGCCAACCCCCAAUCGAGGACUCGUUCCUCUACUAAGGUUGACCUCGGAUCAGGUAGGGAUACCCGCUGAACUUAAGCAUAUCAAUAAGCGGAGGA
rnacentral:misc_RNA from 1 species